AGCAGUAUGGCUAAGUGGAAAGAGCCCAGGCUUGGAAGUGAGAGGUUGUGGGUUCUAAUCCCACUUCUGCCA
rnacentral:tRNA from 1 species